GACGAGUCUUCUCGUUUCAACAGUAAGAACAUAUUCAUGAAUUCCUUGAGUAGCCACUUUUAAAGCUUCUGGGCGGGUUCCUGCCAUCGCUGGCACCUGACAGAGCCGGUGACGGGGGAAGCGACGUGUCCCGGACUUCCUGUUCUCCUGUCCAUGGUGCUGGACGCCGGGCCUCUCCGAAUCGCUACUGCCACGGCGUGCAGGGCAGGUGGCCAAUAAUAAAUCCCUCAGAGGGGUUUCUUCCCCAACCUCUGGGUCUUCCCAGACUCCGAAAACAGUCUAGGCAGAGAGCUUCCCCACAAAUCCCUCAGGGGCUGUUCCUGUUGUGUGGACGGCUCAGACCUUUCUAGUUUUCCUCACCCACCAUCGCUGCAUUAAAAAUGGCAGCCUGUCAUCUCCGGGUGUUGUAGGCUGUCACUCAGCAGCCCAGGCCUCCCCACUGCUGGCCGGCCCUCUCCCCCUCUCCCCGUCCCUCCUCCAGGCUCCUCCAGGCUCCUCCAGGCUCCUCCAGGCUCCAGGGACUCUCGUGCAUGCUUUGUUUUAUCUUCAGUGGGAAAAACCUUCUCCGCGUCCUUUCUCGGGGCCUCCAGCCAGGAGCACAGCGUGCAAGGGAGACGUGCUGAUCCAG
rnacentral:lncRNA from 12 species